AGUGAACGUUUGCGGCGGGCCUAACGCAUGCAAGUCGAACGAGAAUCUCUUCGGAGAGGAAAGUGGCGCACGGGUGCGUAACACGUGGAUAACCAACCCCCUGGUUCGGGAUAACGCUGGGAAACCGGCGCUAAUACCGGGGUGUGUCCGAGGUGUCAUCAGGCGCUUCGGAGAAAGACACGCAAGGGUCGCCAGGGGACGGGUCCGCGUCCCAUCAGCUAGUUGGUGAGGUAAUGGCUCACCAAGGCAAAGACGGGUAGCUGGUCUGAGAGGAUGAUCAGCCACACUGGAACCUGAGACACGGUCCAGACUCCUACGGGAGGCAGCAGUGGGGAAUAUUGCGCAAUGGGCGGAAGCCUGACGCAGCCACGCCGCGCGAGCGAUGAAGGUCUUAGGAUCGUAAAGCCCUGUGGAGGGAGAAGAAUAAAGCCGGUGAAGAGCCGGCCUUGACGGUAUCCCUUUUAGCAAGCACCGGCUAACUCCGUGCCAGCAGCCGCGGUAAUACGGAGGGUGCAAACGUUGCUCGGAAUCAUUGGGCGUAAAGCGCGCGUAGGCGGCGAGGCAAGUUGGAUGUGAAAGCCCUGGGCUCAACCCAGGAAGUGCAUCCAAAAUCUGCCUUGCUUGAAUCUCGGAGGGGGCUCAGGGAAUUCCCGGCGUAGAGGUGAAAUU
rnacentral:rRNA from 1 species